rnacentral:lncRNA from 1 species
ACAUUUCUUCCCAUAUCUUCAAUACCAUGAAGAUAAACAAGAGAAAGGUGAUAAGCAUUUGGAAGGAGGUGAAUUGUUGGUCCAUCAUGAAAAUUACUUGGUGCUAAAGUGAAAGAGAGAUUUGUAGGCUGAUUGCGGGGUUUGCAUUUGAUUUCAUCCAAUUAUAUAUACUACAAAUUCUGGCUUUUGUUAAAUCAUAGAUGAAGUAUUAUUCAAACUUAGACUAAUCGCAUAAGGUAACAUAUCAACAUUGGACAACAAUUUUUAUAACAUCG